ACUCCUACGGGAGGCAGCAGUGGGGAAUAUUGCACAAUGGGCGCAAGCCUGAUGCAGCCAUGCCGCGUGUAUGAAGAAGGCCUUCGGUUGUAAAGUACUUUCAGCAGUGAGGAAGGCGGAGUCGUUAAUAGCGGCCUCGUUUGACGUUAGCUGCAGAAGAAGCACCGGCUAACUCCGUGCCAGCAGCCGCGGUAAUACGGAGGGUGCGAGCGUUAAUCGGAAUUACUGGGGCGUAAAGCGCAUGCAGGUGGUUUGUUAAGUCAGAUGUGAAAGCCCGGGGGCUCAACCUCGGAAUUGCAUUUGAAACUGGCAGACUAGAGUACUGUAGAGGGGGUAGAAUUUCAGGUGUAGCGGUGAAAUGCGUAGAGAUCUGAAGGAAUACCGGUGGCGAAGGCGGCCCCCUGGACAGAUACUGACACUCAGAUGCGAAAGCGUGGGGAGCAAACAGGAUUAGAUACCCUGGUA
rnacentral:rRNA from 1 species